UAGGCCCGUGCAAAUCCUCUGGUGAU
rnacentral:piRNA from 1 species